rnacentral:pre_miRNA from 1 species
AGUGGAAUUGCUGUGUCAUAUUAUAACUUUAACUUUUUGAGGAAUUGCCAAACUGUUUUCCAAAGUGACUGAAUUUUACAUUUCCAUUAGCAAU